UAGGGAAUCUUCGGCAAUGGGGGGAACCCUGACCGAGCAACGCCGCGUGAGUGAAGAAGGUUUUCGGAUCGUAAAGCUCUGUUGUUAAGGAAGAACGAGUGUGAGAAUGGAAAGUUCAUACUGUGACGGUACUUAACCAGAAAGGGACGGCUAACUACGUGCCAGCAGCCGCGGUAAUACGUAGGUCCCGAGCGUUGUCCGGAUUUAUUGGGCGUAAAGCGAGCGCAGGCGGUUAGAUAAGUCUGAAGUUAAAGGCAGUGGCUCAACCAUUGUAGGCUUUGGAAACUGUUUAACUUGAGUGCAGAAGGGGAGAGUGGAAUUCCAUGUGUAGCGGUGAAAUGCGUAGAUAUAUGGAGGAACACCGAUGGCGAAAGCGGCUCUCUGGUCUGUAACUGACGCUGAGGCUCGAAAGCGUGGGGAGCGAACAGG
rnacentral:rRNA from 1 species